rfam:Culex pipiens quinquefasciatus supercont3.95 genomic scaffold, whole genome shotgun sequence.
GGGACCGUGACGUAGGGGUAAGCGUGGUUGCCUCUCACCCAGUCAGCUUGGGUUCGAUCCCAGACGGUCCCG